CCCUGGUUAGCUCAGUUGGUAGAGCGCUCCACAUGUAAGGGAGAGGUCCCGGGUUCGAUACCCGGACCAGGCG
rnacentral:tRNA from 2 species